GUACAGGCCAUAUGGUUGAAGUCCGUUAGUUUACAUUGGAACUAGACAUCCAGGCAUCUUAAGUGUAGAAUUUCACACCUUGCAGAGCCUUUGAUUAAUCAAAGGAUCAAUCCAUGUUGUAAACCAUCUGCCCCCUUUCACAUUCCUAUACCAUUUACAUUACCCCUUCUGUCAUCUGACCUUGCAACCAAGUGGCCAAUUCAUAUAUGCACUACACAAAUUACAUUAAAUAGCAAUAGUCUUUUGUGCAACAAUGAAUUAUGAACCCUUGGCGUGACAAAAAACUCAUUCUAUUCUCAGGGCAAUAGAAGUGGCAAAUUAUU